rnacentral:rRNA from 1 species
GCGACCUACCCAUGAGCAGGAUGAAGCGAAAGUAAAAUUUCGUGGAGGUCCGAACCCACGAGCGUUGAAAAGCUCGGGGAUGACUUGUGGGUAGCGGUGAAAUUCCAAUCGAGCCCGGAGAUAGCUGGUUCUCCCCGAAAUAGCUUUAGGGCUAGCCUCAAGGUGAGAGAUACGGAGGUAGAGCACUGAAUGUCCUAGGGGGUAUUGCACCUACCGAAGACUAUCAAACUCCGAAUGCCGUCAUCUUAUACUUGGGAGUCAGACUGUGGGUGAUAAGAUUCAUAGUCGAAAGGGCAACAGCCCAGAUCGUCAGCUAAGGUCCCUAAAUGUAAGUUAAGUGGUAAAGGAUGUGGGAUUGCACAGACAACCAGGAUGUUGGCUUAGAAGCAGCCACUCAUUCAAAGAGUGCGUAAUAGCUCACUGGUCGAGUGAUCCUGCGCCGAAGAUUUCCGGGGCUAAAACUUACUACCGAAGCUACGGCAUCAGUAAUGAUGGGUAGGGGAGCUUCCCAUACGGGUUGAAGCAUGACCGUAAGGACAUGUGGACAGUAUGGGAGUGAGAAUGUUGGCAUGAGUAGCGAGAUGUGGGUGAGAAUCCCACAGGCCGUAAACCCAAGGUUUCCAGGGGAAGGUUCGUCCGCCCUGGGUUAGUCGGGACCUAAGCUGAGGCCGAAAGGCGUAGGUGAUGGACAACAGGUUGAUAUUCCUGUACUACCGAUAACCGUUUGAGAGAAGGGAUGACACAGUAGGAUAAGCUAAGCACACUGUUGGUUAUGUGUGCCCAAGCAUUGAGGCAGUCAAAGUAGGCAAAUCCGCUUUGAUAAUGCUGGGAUGUGAUGGGGAGCGAAAUUUAGUAGCGAAGUAGCUGAUUUCACACUGUCAAGAAAAGUCUCUAUCGAGGUUAAAGGUACCCGUACCGCAAACCGACACAGGUGGGUGAGGAGAGUAUCCUAAGGCCAGCGAGAGAACUGUUGUUAAGGAACUCGGCAAAAUGACCCCGUAACUUAGGGAUAAGGGGUGCCACCAUCAGGUGGCCGCAGAGAAUAGGCCCAAGCGACUGUUUACCAAAAACAUAGGUUUCUGCUAAGUCGCAAGACGAUGUAUAGGAGCUGACGCCUGCCCGGUGCUGGAAGGUUAAGGGGAUCUGUUAGAGCAAUCGAAGCAGUGAACUUAAGCCCCAGUAAACGGCGGCCGUAACUAUAACGGUCCUAAGGUAGCGAAAUUCCUUGUCGGGUAAGUUCCGACCCGCACGAAAGGCGUAACGAUUUGGGCACUGUCUCAACAACAGACUCGGUGAAAUUGUAAUUCCGGUGAAGAUGCCGGAUACCUGCGACAGGACGGAAAGACCCCAUGGAGCUUUACUGUAGCUUGACAUUGGGUCUUGGUACUACAUGUACAGGAUAGGUGGGAGGCUUUGAAACCAGGACGCCAGUUUUGGCGGAGCCAUCCUUGGGAUACCACCCUUGUAGUACUGGGACUCUAACCAUAGGCCAUGAAUCUGGUCUUGGGACACUGUCAGGUGGGCAGUUUGACUGGGGCGGUCGCCUCCCAAAAGGUAACGGAGGCGCUCAAAGGUUCUCUCAGUACGGUCGGAAAUCGUACGUAGAGUGUAAAGGCAAAAGAGAGCUUGAUUGCAAGACAUACAGGUCGAGCAAGGAUGAAAAUCGGACUUAGUGAUCCGGUGGUUCUGCGUGGAAGGGCCAUCGCUCAACGGAUAAAAGCUACCCUGGGGAUAACAGGCUUAUCUCCCCCAAGAGUCCACAUCGACGGGGAGGUUUGGCACCUCGAUGUCGGCUCAUCACAUCCUGGGGCUGUAGUAGGUCCCAAGGGUUGGGCUGUUCGCCCAUUAAAGUGGUACGCGAGCUGGGUUCAGAACGUCGUGAGACAGUUCGGUCCCUAUCCGUCGCAGGCGUAGGAAAUUUGAGAAGACCUGUCCUUAGUACGAGAGGACCGGGAUGGACG